AGCCCGUGGCUUAAUGGUAGAGCGUUCGACUCAAAUACUAAAGGUCUAGGGUUCAAAUCCCAAAUGUGCCA
rnacentral:tRNA from 1 species